AAAAAAAAUAAUAAUAAAAAAAUAUAUAUAUAUAUUCAAGAAAGAACCCUUAGUUUUUAAAGCCUCAUCGAUGACACGAGUUCUAUUUCUCAUCAAUAUUUCCACCAUCAAGAUGAUUGUCUGAAUCCCCGGGAAAACACAUCAUCUAUAAUAAAAUUACCACCAUUCCUGAACCACAUGAUUGCAUGUUUCCUUGAUCCAACUAAAGCUUUUUUUGAAAGAACCCUUCAUUUUUCCUUCCAUGGAAUAGGCCUUGUAACUUGCAAUUCUCUUUUUCCUCUGGAACUCAGGGUCAUUUAAACCCCAAGUUUUUGAAGAAGAAGAGGAAACCCUAUUCUUUUGUUUGUUGAUCUUGGCUGGAUUACGAUCGAGAUGGGGUAAUGGUAGAGGAGUUAUGUGAACUGAUGAUGAUCCAUAUGAAGUAGAAGCUGUAGUGCUGUAACUCCUCAGAUUUUGCAUGCUGGUUGGACCUUCUUCAUUAAUGGAGUUGUACUUCUCUACCUGCACUCUGCUUGAUUUAGAUCUACUGAAUUUCUCCAUACAAGAAUGAGGAACACACACG
rnacentral:lncRNA from 1 species